AAAAAUAAAUAAAUAAAUAAACACAUGGAUUCUUGUUUUUGCUUGUUUUGUCAAAAAAGCAAGUUGAUAAACAGGCAACUUUUCAGGCGAGUAUUAUCCACGCGCCAAUUAUAGCCUGCAUAAUGACGUGAAUGUGUUGAAAAAUAUGAAUUCCUAUCUGACAUGACACAUUGCAGAGACAUUAUUUUAUUUUCUUCUUACUGUUACUGUGAACAAUGACAUUACUGAGAAAUGAUUGGCAUCAGCAGAGCCUCUCUGCCUGCCUAGUCCUGAAGCUACAUAAAAUGCCCAUUUCCAGAUACCUACAAUUUGAAGCAAGCAACAAAGUUGGAAAUCAGCCCUAAAAAGAUCCAGCAAUUUUAGCAUUUCCCCCAGGCUAAUAGCUCCACGUUGGAUUUCUCAGUUUUAACAACCGGACUGUCCCUAAACACAGUGUCUUUGCAACUAAUAGAUCUUCACCCCAUUAAUAUGAAAGGCACAUGCAGGCUUAAGGAAGAGUCCAGGCAAGAACCCCCACAAAAGAUAACAGAAAAAUUCCAACUCCUUCAAACAUUGGAUCCCAUCAUAUCUCUCCCCUAGGGGGCCACAGGGGCCCCAAAGGUCACCAAUUCACAUGCUAAGAACGGAACAAGACCCCUUUUCUUCCUUAAAGGCUAAAUAUGAGGAAUGCAGUUUGACAUUUGUUGCCACAAAAAAGAGUCCAUGCCCAUUUGCUAUUCUAUAUUGCUACCAAAGCUGUGACUGUGGCAAUGAAAUGGUAGACUUUUAAUCCCUCCUUCAAACGUAAGUACAGGGCACUGGGAGAGCACCUAAUAAUUGCUAGAAGUAUUAGGUAGGACCACAAUACAUUCGCCUCUCCCAGAUGAGUGUGAAUCCACCAUAUGAAAUUUACAAUACAUGUGAGGAGGAGGGAACUUGGCAAGUUCCUGCCUAAUAAUUUAAAUUUCUCGCUAACACAUAGCUAUGCAAGAAUCAAGAACAACCUUAUCCUAAGUCAAAAUACACACAGAAGUAGACACAUUAGCCAAGAGGAAUAAAUGACAUGUGGGUAUAGGAUAGGUUUCUGACAGAAUGACCAUCACGCGCCAACCAUGGUAAAAAACUAUUGCAAGAAAUAUCAUUGCACAUUGCCUCGACAUUAUUGGUGCAUCUCAAGAAAGCGCUUGAAAAGAAAGGAAUUAUGCUGGUAAUUACCAAUUA
rnacentral:misc_RNA from 1 species